rnacentral:lncRNA from 1 species
CAAAUACCCCCCGUGGUUUCGUACUUUUUUACUUUAGUACCCUAUGGUUUAAAGUGUAUCAAGUUAGUAUCCUGUGGUUUUACGCUUUCUCACUUUAGUAUCCUGUGGUUUCAAUGUAUCAAGUUAGUAUCCUGUUGUUUAAUUUUUGUAUCAAGUUAGUGCCCUGUGGUUUUAAUUUUUUUUUUUUUAUUAUCCAUUUCGAGGUAUAUAAUUUAACAAAAUAUUAAACCACAGAGUACUAAAGUGAUAAAGUGCGAAACCACAUGAUACUAACUUGAUACACUUGAAAGCACAUGGUACUAAAAUGAGAAAGUGCGAAACCAUACGGGUGUAUUUGAAGUUUUUCCUAAAAUUAUUUUAGAAGUCAGACAGAAAAGAUAUUUAUGUUUUGUUUAGUUUGAAAAUAAAGUAGGGAUAACAAAAGUUAUUUCCACUAUUCUACCAAACAAAAUAUUUUUUGGCCGGAAUAUUUUAUUCUGGUCAAAUUUUACUAUUUUCGGUUAUUCC